ACCACCUGAUCCCACUCCCUCCUAAUCUCCUCUUGAUUAUCAAGCUAUUUAAAGUUAAUCACUCAUUGCAAAAGCCUGUGCAAUAUCAGGUAGCAGAAAUAUGUGCCCUAUAAAUUACCAUUCUUCAUUGGUGGAUGCUGUGUGCAUGCUCCCAGGGAAUAUUGCUGCCCUCUGAAUUGGGACAAUUACAUUUACAGGUAAGACUUAAAGAAGGGGAGGCAGAACGGUUUUCAAAGAGUUUUCCCUGUUUAAAAAAAAAUCCAACCAUACAGCAUUUCCCAGAGGACUGUGAGAUGAGAGCUUGAAUUACGAAAGAGGGCUGCUGUUGCAAUGAGAACUCCAGAGCCAGGCAGGCCAGAAGCCACCGUGCUUCAUCUGGUUAGGAAAUUAAAU